AGAGUUUGAUCAUGGCUCAGAUUGAACGCUGGCGGCACGCCUAACACAUGCAAGUCGAGCGGUAACAUGCCCCGCACUAGUUGCGGGGUGAUGACGAGCGGCGGACGGGUGAGGAACACGUAGGAACUUGCCCUUCAGAGGGGGACAACCAAGGGAAACUUUGGCUAAUACCGCAUAAACUCGAAAGAGAAAAGUUGCCC
rnacentral:rRNA from 1 species